AACGAACGCUGGCGGCAGGCCUAACACAUGCAAGUCGAGCGAAGCCUUCGGGCUUAGCGGCGGACGGGUGAGUAACGCGUGGGAACGUGCCCUUUGCUACGGAAUAGCCCCGGGAAACUGGGAGUAAUACCGUAUGUGCCCUUCGGGGGAAAGAUUUAUCGGCAAAGGAUCGGCCCGCGUUGGAUUAGGUAGUUGGUGGGGUAAUGGCCUACCAAGCCGACGAUCCAUAGCUGGUUUGAGAGGAUGAUCAGCCACACCGGGUCUGAGACACGGCCCAGACUCCUCGGGGAGGCAGCAGUGGGGAAUCUUAGACAAUGGGGGAAACCUUGAUCUAGCCAUGCCGCGUGAGCGAUGAAGCCCUUAGGGUUAUAAAGAUCUUUCAGUGGGGAAGAUAAUGACUGUACCCACAGAAGAAGCCCCGGCUAACUCCGUGCCAGCCGCCGCCGUAAAAC
rnacentral:rRNA from 1 species